rnacentral:rRNA from 1 species
AUUGAACGCUGGCGGCAGGCCUAACACAUGCAAGUCGAACGAGAGGCGGACGGGUGAGUAAUGUCUGGGAAACCGUCUGAUGGAGGGGGAUAACUACUGGAAACGGUAGCUAAUACCGCUUACCAUCGGCUCUGCCAAGAUGGGAUUAGCUAGUAGGUGGGGUAAAGGCGCACCUAGGCGACGUUCCCUAGCUGGUCUGAGAGGAUGACCAGCCACCCGGGCACGAAGACACUGUCCAGACUCCGACGGGAGGCAGCAGUGUUGAAUAUUGCACAAUGGGCGCAAGCCUGAUGCAGCCAUGCCGCGUGUAUGAAGAAGGCCUUCGGGUUGUAAAGUACUUUCGGCGGGGAGGCGUUACCCGCAGAAGAAGCACCGGCUAACUCCGUGCCAGCAGCCGCGGUAAUUC